rfam:Prevotella marshii DSM 16973 genomic scaffold SCAFFOLD1, whole genome shotgun sequence.
ACGGGAAUAGCUCAGUUGGUAGAGUACUGGUCUCCAAAACCAGGCGUCGGGAGUUCGAGCCUCUCUUCCCGUG